rnacentral:tRNA from 1 species
GCCUUCGUGGUGUAACGGUAGCACACUCGGCUCGUAUUCGAGAAACCUAGGUUCGAGUUCUGACGAGAGCA